rnacentral:lncRNA from 1 species
AUACAAAUAAUUAACAUCGGCAUAUAAAACGGCCCGCAUCUGCAACGGGACUAAUCAUGUGCUCUCCAACCUUUCUCGCUAAAGCUUUCUUAAUUGCUAGGGUGCGGCAAAGAAAUAUUCAAGACGCGGAUAAACAUGCGCACAACGACACAUAGCAUAGAGACUGAAGCUGAUGUCCUCUCCCUCCUGUCUUCCCGAGACCCAGAGCGGCCAACCAUGGUUGUCCAGCCUUUCGGCCCCACAGUUAUAUGCAUGCCUGAUGAGUGCCUGAGGAGGAUUCAGCUGCCAUGGUGGAUUCAAUACAGGAGCAAUCUAGGAUGGCUACAUUGCGUCCGCUUCCUUAAGAUAUUUGGCAAUUGAUGGAGGAAUGUAUCUUCAUGGACCCAAGACAUGUCGUGAGCGGAAUAAAGCCGCAAAUUGGAUGACCACUUUUAUAGCAGAGUAUUCUAGAGAAAUUUUGUAGGUCGAUAUCAAGGUCAUUCCUAUAUUUUUCUGUAAUAUUUUUUUUUCUGACUCUUUUAAUUGUAUUCAUACUAAGUUUGUAAGAGUGCUCUGUCUUAUUAAAAAUAAAAAAAAA